CCAUAGAGGACUACAAAUUCCUCAACUCUUCCUAUGUGCCAGUGCUCCGGCAGCUUGAAUCUGCGAACCUGCAGAGAUUCUAUUUCGAAAAUAAGCUCGAGAAUGCGACCAAGGACACAAACAAUAUGAAAUUCAGGAAUCCCAAGUACCUGUCCAUGCUGAACCAUCUCCGUUUCUACCUGCCGGAGAUGUACCCGAAGCUCCAUCGUAUCCUGUUCCUGGAUGAUGAUAUUGUGGUACAACGGGAUCUAACCGGACUCUGGAAAAUUGACAUGGACGGGAAGGUGAACGGGGCGGUGGAGACCUGCUUUGGUUCAUUUCACCGGUAUGCUCAGUACAUGAAU
rnacentral:lncRNA from 1 species